CUCACCAAAUACUUCAUUGUCCUCUGAAGACUGCUGUGUUAGUCUUGCUGCUUUCGGACUCUCCUUAGCUGCUUCUUCCACCUUGGUUUCAGCAUUCUUGGCUGACUUGUCAGUG